GCCCGGAUGGCGGAAUUGGUAGACGCGCUAGUUUCAGGUACUAGUGACCGUAACAGGUCUUGGAAGUUCGAGUCUUCUUCCGGGCACCA
rnacentral:tRNA from 1 species